rnacentral:lncRNA from 1 species
CCAUUAAAACUUUAUGAAUAUUGGCCAGGCAUGGUGGCUCACGCCUGUAAUCCCAGCACUUUGGGAGGCCGAGGCAGGUGGAUCACCAGGUCAGGAGUUCAAGACCAGCCUGACCAACAUGGUGAAACCCCACCUCUACUAAAAAUACAAAAACUAGUCUGGCGUAGUGGCGCGUGCCUGCAAUCCCAGCUAGAGUGCCUGUCAUAUGGCAAUUACUCUUCUUUGUGUUUUAUACUUUCUCCCCUAUGAAGGUUUGGUCAGAAUUGAUUAUUUCUAAUGUCUAGUUCUGCAAGAGAAUAAAAGGAAAAUGCUCUCAAACAUUUAUAACAUAUAUUUUACAUGACAGCAGCUAGGUUGUCAUCAAAAUCUUGAAAAUAACCUGGACAUAUUUAUGUGGAAGAUACUGUACUCAAUGCUGCUGUAGGAACAAACUGUACUAUGUACCUUAUCUCUGGAAAUUCAGUUACUGAGUAAAACUUCUUAGUUUUAAAAGCUGGUAAUAAUCUAUUUAGAUCUUCUUUUCAAAUCAGAUUACUCAUUAAUGAAUGC